AAAUUUAUAAAUCUAAACUCCUCGGCCACUCAGUAUCACUGGAUCUUUAUUCCUAAUCAUGGCUUUGCAACAUGAUCAGGUAAAGCAGGGUUUAGGAGGUAGAGUUCGUCUGAUUUUGUCUGGAGCCGCACCUUUAUCUGCACAUCUGGAAGGUUACUUACUGUGGCGACUUGCUGUCAUGUCCUACGAGGAUAUGAGGAUUUUCAUGUGGGUGACAGGCGUGAGGUUCUUCUUUGUGAUCUUGGGGACACUACAUCAUGUUUUAAAUUAUCAAUCUGGGCUAUGAAGCCAGUUAUUUGACCUGAAGCCUCGCUCUCUUUUUCAUGAAGCUUUUCCUGUAAACUGGAUAGCUCUGCCUUUUUCCCAGCUAAUAUCUUCUCCAGCACAGAUAUUGUUCCCGGCAAUCCCAAAAUUUCUUCUCGCAGUCCAGAGUUCUCAUAGUCUUUAGUUCUCAUUUGUGAUGCCAAAUCAUGUUCAAUAUCUACUUGUUUACUUAGUUCAGCAUUCUCAGCCAAAGCUUAGAUCAUUGCAUGUAGAUUGAUGUAUUGUUAAACCUUCCGCAUCAAGUUGUUUCCAUUGUAGCUGGUGCUUUGGUGCUUUGAAUGAUGUUGCAGCAAAGAAUAUGAUCAAGGAGCAUGGUUUCCAGCCCCUCAAGCUUAUUAGUAUUAUUAUUAUUAUUAUU